GAUAAGCGUAGUUGUAGGUUUUAGGGUCCAAAUUUAACCAUCUGUUUUAUUUGAAAUAUUUUAUGAUUAACAUUUUUACUGUUAUUAGAUGAUAAAAUAUGAAUAGUACUUUAUACAUGACUUAACUUUUUAAAAUUUUUUCAUAAAUUUUUCAAAUAAGAUGGAUGGCCGAACGUUGGGCACGGAAAUUUAUGGCUGCAAUUAUA
rfam:Oryza meridionalis cultivar OR44 (W2112) chromosome 8, whole genome shotgun sequence.